rnacentral:misc_RNA from 1 species
CAUCUAACCCCUCAAGCACUGCUUGUUGUUGGGCGCCUGUCCCGCCUCCGCGCGGAGACUCGCCUCGAAGACAUUGGCGGCCUGUGUAUUGGCUACGAGCGCAGCAGACCCGCGCCUCGUCCCCUCUCGCGCAGGCCUCCAGGAAGCGCCAACCCCCCAAUUUUGGCCUCGGAUCAGGUAGGGAUACCCGCUGAACUUAA